CAUGCAGGCGGUCGAGCGCGUUUUGUGUGACAGCGGGUGGCUUAACUACCCGAGGAUGCGAAAGACGGUUUGACUUGAGGGCUCGAGAGGGACACGGAAUUCCGGGUGGAGUGGUGAAAUGCGUAGAGAUCCGGAGGAACACCGAAGGCGAAGGCAGUGUCCUGGCGAGUAUACCUGACGCUGAGGUGCGAAAGCCAGGGGAGCGAACGGGAUUAGAUACCCCGGUAGUCCUGGCCGUAAACGAUGACCACCAGGUGUGGGAGGUAUCGACCCCUUCCGUGCCGGAGGCAACCCACUAAGUGGUCCGCCUGGGGAGUACGGUCGCAAGAUUAAA
rnacentral:rRNA from 1 species